GUGGGCGCCGCGGGACCCGCUGGACGGGACCUGCCGGGAAGGGGCGCCCGACGCCAUGCGGGGCGGGGGUCCCAGGAGGGCCGGGGAAGCGGGGGUGGGCGUCCGUCUCUCGCCUGCACCCCCGCUCAGCCGGCCCGGGCAGCGAGGCUGAGUCACCGCGCCGCAGGGAGGGAGAGGAGGGGGCGCGUCUCCUGGGGCGCCAGCACCUUCGCCUCACUUUCCUGGGAGAAUGGCGCAGGAGCCCCAAGAAAGCCGGGGGGGGGUCUCCGAGGUCGGUCCUCCACUCGAUGCUCCUCCGAAGUAGCUGCGUGUCCAUCGGGCGCCGGCAGGUGCUGCGCGGGCUCGUGUCGUCUCUGGCCCCGGCUCCGCAGCCGCGAGGGGACCCCGGUGCCCCCCGUCCGCCCCCAUCCCCACCCCGGAGGGGCCGCCCCACCCGCCGCCUGCCCGUCCCCUCCUCGUCCUCCCGUCCGUGUCCGCACAUCUGUCCCUCCGCGGCUGGUCCGUCCCGCUUACCUGGCGGGCCGCGUCGCCACUGCCCGGUCGCCUCCCGCAGCCUGGCCGGCGCGGCGGCUUUUAUAGGCGCGCGUAGUACUCGUGCGGCGGCUCAUUCAUGCGGCCGCGGCUCCUACACACUGACGCGCUGCCGACGUCAGCGGGGAAUUUAGGAAAUGGGAAAAGGGGCUAUUUAUAGUGGCGAGGCGGGGGGUGGGGACCGAGGCGACCGGGAGGGGAGGAGGGGGCGCGGAAGCGGCGGCGGGGUAGGGGGAGCCGCGCCCCUGCCCAGCCGACAAGGGGUUAACUUUCCGGAACCGCGGGCCUGGGGCCGGGGAGGCGGCGCGGAGGGGCGCGGCGGGCCCUUCGAGCUUAUUCACGCUCUCCUUCCGGAGCCCCGCGGCUCCUGGGGGUCUUCACGUGGCAGCCCCUUCCCCCUCCUCAGUUCCUGGACCUGACGUUUCUGCCGUCACACCCCGCAAGGCCACUGCGGUGUCGCCACCCUCUCGUCCUGCAGGGUGGGCAGGAGAGGAAGCUGGACUCCCGUGGGGGCCUGGGGCGCAGCGAGGGCUGUGGCGUCGGGGGCCGGGAGAAGAAGAGUAGGGGAGCCCAAAGUAGCCCAGGAGUCUUUAGCGGAGGAACCUGGGCCUGGGAGGGAAGGCCCAGCGGGGAUUCAGGUACCACCCAGGAGCUGGAGACCCGAGGGACGGCAGAGAAGUUGGGGAAGGUGGGCCAACCUCCCCAGAAAUGAUGAGCAACGGGAUCCUCUAUGAGGGAGCUGGGGGAACGCGCCAGAGGUAGGGGUGAGAGGAAUGGGCAGCCUCAGCAAGGGAGAGAGGAAAGGCUGUCAGUGCCACGCUCCAGAGCCUGGCAUCCAGGACCCACCUUCGGACCAUUUGUGGCACGAUGGACGCUCCCAGAGCUCACGUUAGGGUAAUAGAGAGUGAAGGAGACCAGCAGCUUGGCCAAGAGGGGCCCCCAGGGGAUGAGGAGGACGGUUUCCUGGAGAAGUUAAUGUUCCCGGAGACCAGAAUUGGCAGGGAGAGCCCAUGACUUGUGGGGCAGUUCCCCUGGUUGGGAGCGGGGAAAUGCAUGGUCCUGGCCCAGCCUGGCUCCAUCGAGAUGGAGGAAGGGUCUAAAUGAGAGGAGUGUGUUCAGACGAGGAGCUGGACCAGGAUGGGGAGGGCUGUGCAAGGCAUGGCCGGAAGAGCGGGGCAGGGAGAGAAAGGUCGAAGAGUGAAGUGCACAGGAGGGCAAGGCGGUCCUCACCCUGCCUGGGCUGGGGCAGGGCUGUGAGACCCUCCCUUACAGAAGCAAUGAGGGCUUGAGGAGGGGGUUAG
rnacentral:lncRNA from 10 species